AGCAGUGUGUCUUAGUGGAUAGAGCACAGACCUGAGAAUCAGAAGGACCUGGGUUCUAAUCCCUGCUCUGCCA
rnacentral:tRNA from 1 species